GACGAACGCUGGCGGCGCGCUUAACACAUGCAAGUCGAACGGGAAGUCCUGCUUUCCCUGGUGGAUUGCGCGUACUCGAGUGGCGCACGGGUUUGUAACCCGUGAGUCAUCCGCCACGGAGUGGGGAAUACGGCUGGGGACCUGGGACUAAUGAUUGAUCGGCCUGCGGGGGGGCGCCGGUGGUUGAGAUCGUAGAUUUAGUGCCUGUGGAUGAGCGCGCGUGGGAUUAGCUAGUUGGUGGGGUAAUAGCCUACCAAGGCGACGAUGCAUAGCCGGUCUGGGAGGCUGAUCAGCCACACUGGGACUGAGACACGGCCCCGACUCCUACGGGAGGCAGCAGUGGGGAAUAUUGGACAAUGGGCGAAAGCCUGAUCCAGCAAUGCCGCGUGAGUGAUGAAGGCCUUAGGGUUGUAAAGCUCUUUUACCCGGGAUGAUAAUGACAGUACCGGGAGAAUAAGCACCGGCUAACUCCGUG
rnacentral:rRNA from 1 species